GAUGAACGCUGGCGGCGUGCCUAGUACAUGCAAGUCGAGCGAACAGACGAGGAGCUUGCUCCUCUGACGUUAGCGGCGGACGGGUGAGUAACACGUGGAUAACCUACCUAUAAGACUGGGAUAACUUCGGGAAACCGGAGCUAAUACCGGAUAAUAUAUUGAACCGCAUGGUUCAAUAGUGAAAGACGGUUUUGCUGUCACUUAUAGAUGGAUCCGCGCCGCAUUAGCUAGUUGGUAAGGUAACGGCUUACCAAGGCAACGAUGCGUAGCCGACCUGAGAGAGUGAUCGGCCACACUGGAACUGAGACACGGUCCAGACUCCUACGGGAGGCAGCAGUAGGGAAUCUUCCGCAAUGGGCGAAAGCCUGACGGAGCAACGCCGCGUGAGUGAUGAAGGUCUUCGGAUCGUAAAACUCUGUUAUUAGGGAAGAACAAAUGUGUAAGUAACUAUGCACGUCUUGACGGUACCUAAUCAGAAAGCCACGGCUAACUACGUG
rnacentral:rRNA from 1 species